AGAACGAACGCUGGCGGCAUGCCUAAUACAUGCAAGUCGAACGAACACUUCGGUGUUAGUGGCGCACGGGUGCGUAACGCGUGGGAAUCUGCCCUUGGGUUCGGAAUAACAGUUGGAAACGACUGCUAAUACCGGAUGAUAUCGAAAGAUCAAAGAUUUAUCGCCCAGGGAUGAGCCCGCGUAGGAUUAGCUAGUUGGUGAGGUAAAGGCUCACCAAGGCGACGAUCCUUAGCUGGUCUGAGAGGAUGAUCAGCCACACUGGGACUGAGACACGGCCCAGACCUCCGUACGGGAGCAG
rnacentral:rRNA from 1 species